AACUAAUAACAAAAAAUGAGAAAUAAGAAGAUCGAUUAGGUUAGUUUACUUAAGACAUAUCUUUCUCUCUUCUUUUUCUUUCUUUCUUUCUUCUUCUUCUCCGACUUGAGUAUAUCGGGGACGGAGACGAGAAGCCGGCAACUGUAGUGGCCAAUCGUGAAUGAGAUCGAGAGCUUUUGACUCCCGUCGCUGAUUCCGGCGACAAGGACGAUGGUUCUUCUUCUUCGCAUCAAUCCAGCCACGAGAUCACUGGCAGCUCCAACUCGAUUUCUAAAUCAUCCUCCAUGACCUCACAAGCUUGUCUACUUCAUAAACAGCUCAAAGAUGAAAGAUGCGUUGAAGAUUUGGUGCAAGCUGCUACUCCACACCAAGUAUCCUCUUACAUCGCACUCAUCUUUCCUGCAAAUCAAUCAGACAUUUAAAACUUCGUUUUCAGGUGGGUUUCCAUAGAUGUCUUUAAGAUACAGUGCCAAUUUCCUGAGUUUUCAGGAGCUAUGAUUUCAAGCAUAUUCAAGAAAGAAGAAUAUAUGUACAGUGUAGAAAACACGUUUCAUCAAGCUUCUUAAUUCUCUUAGUGUGAUGUUCUUUAAUGGAAUGUAAAAUACUAAUUAGUCAAUUUCUUCUUGUUCGUGCAAUUUCUUAUGUGAAACCCCCAUCAGUUUGCAAGCAA